UGGGGAAUAUUGCACAAUGGGCGAAAGCCUGAUGCAGCAACGCCGCGUGAGUGAUGAAGGCCUUCGGGUUGUAAAGCUCUGUCUUUUGGGACGAUAAUGACGGUACCAAAGGAGGAAGCCACGGCUAACUACGUGCCAGCAGCCGCGGUAAUACGUAGUGGCAAGCGUUGUCCGGAUUUACUGGGCGUAAAGGAUGCGUAGGCGGAUUUUUAAGUGAGAUGUGAAAUACCCGGGCUUAACUUGGGUGCUGCAUUUCAAACUGGGAAUCUAGAGUCUCGUAGAGGGGGGUAGAAUUCCAGGUGUAGCGGUGAAAUGCGUAGAGAUCUGGAGGAAUACCGGUGGCGAAGGCGGCCCCCUGGACGAAGACUGACGCUCAGGUGCGAAAGCGUGGGGAGCAAACAGGAUUAGAUACCCUGGUAGUCCACGCCCNAAACGAUGUCAACUAGUUGUUGGGGAUUCAUUUCCUUAGUAACGUAGCUAACGCNUGAAGUUGACCGCCUGGGGAGUACGGUCGCAAGAUUAAAACUCAAAGGAAUUGACGG
rnacentral:rRNA from 1 species